rnacentral:rRNA from 1 species
CACCGCGGUUAUACGAGAGACUCAAGUUGACAGAACAACGGCGUAAAAGUGGUUAGUACUUUUAUUUACUAAAGCCAAACACCUUCAAAGUUGUCAUAAGCUAUUGAGGAGAGGAAGCACCCCCACAAAAGUGGCUUUAAACAGUACAAAUCCACGAAAGCUAGGGAA